GAUCUAGGUUGCAUGCUCCUUAUAAGAAUCUAACGCCUGAUGAUCUGUCACUGUCUCCCAUCACCCCUAGAUGAGACCAUCUAGAUGGAGGAAAAGCUCAGGGCUCUUACUGACUACAUUAUGGUUUUCAUAACCUUGACAUCUUUGAAGGUGACAGAACAGUGAUUUUGCAGCGUGUCCCUCAAUUUGCCUUUGUCUCAUGUUUCCUCAUGAUCAGAUUCAGGUGAUGCACUUCUGGCAGAAAUAUCAUGAAUGUGAAGCUGAGAUCUUCUCAUUAUAUCCCAUCAGGUGGUGCAUGAUUUCAAUUUCAUGUCUCAUUUCUCAUGAUGUUUACUUUGGUAACUUGAUGAAGGUGAAGCCCAUCAGGCUUCUCCACUGUGCAGCUGACAUUUUCAUUCUGUAAUUAAUAAGUAUUUUGUGGUGAGAAAUGUUGAGAUUAUGUAAAUAUACUCCUUAU
rnacentral:lncRNA from 1 species